rnacentral:lncRNA from 1 species
CUUUGUGUGUGUGAGUCGAGGCGAGCUGGCUGCAGUAUCAUCAGAAACAUGCAGGCAGGGGAAAAGAAAAGAACUUGGGACUCGAGUCGUUUUAGAGUAGAGAACAUGACAUUUUGGCCAAGGAGUCACCCAGUCAUGUUUCCACAUCUCCAGACAGACCACUGGAGCAAAAUGAAAACAAUGGUUCCAGUUUAUCUUGCAUCAGUUCCAGCUGCCUUGUUGAAGGACAGAGUGUAUGCAUCACAUAAAGGUGCUAUAAGCCUUACCCCCAGCAGCUGGCUGUUACCUCCUCUGACUCUGGGUGAAACUGCAGUCAUUGAUCAUGUUCCCUCCAUGUUGCCAGCAUACAAUGUGCAUCAAAACACACCGAAAACCUCACCUCAAAACAUCCCCCAGCUCAGGAAUGAGUUCAAUGACCGUGCCAGGAGGGGCUUCUGCUACUGGGUCAUUGAAAAGAAGGGCUCAGCAUGUAAAGGAUACAGCGUUGGUGCCUACAAGACCUCUCUGGGAUUACCAAAAGUCUAACGAAAAGUGUUACUGUCUAAAGUUUGUGUAUGCCUCUGUCAUAAUUAAUUUUAAUCUCUAAAGACUACGCCUGUAUGAUUUCACUCAGAGGGUAUAUAAUUAAUCCUCUCUCACUUUACCAGGGUGUGUCCACAGAUGUUAAGACACCAUUUCCACUACCUGAGGAGUGAUUUGCCUGUCAGAUAAAAUACUGUUAUUUUUAAGUAUUGAAUGUAGGAAUAAGUUACACUUAGAUUUAGGAUAAUGUGUAAAAUACAUUACCUGGCUAUGGUAUGCUGAAUAAAAAAUAAAAAACUAUGAACAUCUCAAGGGGAGC